AGCCUUCAAUGUGAGCAAAUCAAUAUGUUUUGUUUGCCUCUUCGCCUGAUGGUUCCUUCCAUCUACCAUCCACCAAUAAAACUCCACCAUAUCUUCCUAAUUCUUCACCUUCCUUCUUUAUUCGUGACACUCUUCAUAUUGCGAUGCCACUGGUCAAGCUUCCUCUGGUUGCCUUCACCAGAAAUCUGCAGGCUUGAAGCGCAAUUCGGCUUCCACAUGCAUUCCCCACACUACUGUAGAGAUCUACAUACAAAUCACGAACGAAUAUAGUGCACUGAUGCCCAUCGACCAGAGAAAUAGGCUGGAUGGCAAUCAGUUCUGCAGACGUAGUAGCGGAGCUUGGCGCCACGAGCCGGAGACAUCGAUCGUCUACUGAACUCGCUAGAGCAGCGAAGACCAUAUAGAUGAUGUAAUAUUAGCAAAGCUCUACUAUUAUAUAACGAACAAAAAGGGAGGGGAGAUGUCCAAUCGCACCAUAUCGCGGGAGCAUUACAGGGAGGCCACGGUUGCACGCACAGUCGUCGAGGACGUGCACUGCCGCUCUCAAGUCUAUGGGGACAUCACUUUAUGACGCAUGCGGAGGAGUCCGCACAUGGCGGCGGUGACAGGUAUCUCCUCUUGCCGCCGUUUGACCUGGGCUGAUCCUCAUGUUGCGCGAUCCAAAGUUGCGGGUCCAUGGGUCUCAUCUUAAUUGGAGUAGUAGCAUGGCGACCAUCAUGAUGAGAGCAUGAUCGAAUGAGCAUUUCUAAUGGCCUCACUAACAACUUCACUGCAGGUGAUAUACUAACAUAGCUUCAUCGUCGCAUAUGCUUCUAUCAUUAUCCAAACAGAGGAGAAUUUGAGAGGAAGGUGGAGAUCAGAGAAAGAAGAUGAACAAUGCCUAUCCUAAGCCAACGCCAUGCCUCGGCCGAAGCCGCCCAAUCCGUCCAAGCCAGGUUGUGUGUAGCUGCAUCCCAAUAUUUGUAAACGUGUCCUUCCUUCGUGGCUUUGAGCUGGGCCGGGUAAUUGUUCAAAGCCGGCAAGACCCAGUCGUCGUGGUCGACGGGGACUAGGUCGAAAAAUGCAUUGAGAUAGCAGUCUUGGUUGGCACGGACUUGAUCGAAGGAGAGCGCGUGGUCAAACCGUCGAAGGAGUGGUCACAGCAGAACGUCAGCGCCACAAACAUCUGCCCUCCUCGCACC